rnacentral:other from 1 species
GUUCACCGCCGAGCAGGCGGCUUAGGAA